rnacentral:rRNA from 1 species
GUACACGCUGUGACUAGCAUAUCAAUAAGCGGAGGAAAAGAAACUAACAAGGAUUCCCCUAGUAACGGCGAGUGAAGCGGGAAGAGCUCAAAUUUGAAAUCUUAAAGGGUUUCCCUUUACGAAUUGUAGUUUAAAGAAGUGUUUUCUGUUGAGGUUUUGGUAAAAGUUCUUUGGAAUUAUUAGGACAUCAUAGGAGGGUGAGAAUCCCGUAUUUGACCCUUACUUUCAACUUUGUGAUACACUUUCAAAGAGUCGGAUUGUUUGGGAAUGCAGUCCAAAAUGGGUGGUAAAUUUCAUCUAAAGCUAAAUAUUGGCGAGAGACCGAUAGCGAACAAGUACCGUGAGGGAAAGAUGAAAAGAACUUUGAAAAGAGAGUUAAACAGUACGUGAGAUUGUCAAAAGGGAAGCGUUUGACACCAGUGUUGUUUUUCUGAAAAUCAAUUAAAGAACUGUUUAUGCUAAGUUGUUUAGACUUUAUCAGCUAACUGUUUAGUUUUGAGCUUUUCUUUAAUGCACUUUUCAGUUAACAAGUCAACAUCAAUUUCUUUUGCUGUAAAAAAGCUUGAGGAAGGUGGCUUGAGAUUCGUCUUAAGUGUUUAUAGCCUCUUGCCUAUGCAGUCGGAGAGAUUGAGGUCUGCAGCGUAGAUCCUUCGGGGCUAAAUGCAUUUGAGCUAAGUUAUAGCAUUUUAUAGACAACUUGUUGACUAUGAUUUGUCUUGUAGCUUACUCCGCUUAUGUUAUUUUACCUACGCUUAGGAUGUUGAGUCGUAGAGCACGCAG